rnacentral:ncRNA from 12 species
GGGUCUGGGUUGUAAUAUCCAGAGGUAAUCUUUAGAUGGUCGGGCCGCCAUCU